rnacentral:rRNA from 1 species
UACGUAGGGGGCAAGCGUUGUCCGGAUUUACUGGGCGUAAAGAGCGCGCAGGCGGUCGUUCAAGUCGCGGGUGAAAGCCCCCGGCUCAACUGGGGAGGGUCACGCGAUACUGAUCGACUCGAAGGCAGGAGAGGGUAGUGGAAUUCCCGGUGUAGUGGUGAAAUGCGUAGAUAUCGGGAGGAACACCAGUGGCGAAGGCGACUACCUGGCCUGUUUCUUGACGCUGAGGCGCGAAAGCUAGGGGAGCAAACGGG